ensembl:snRNA U6 U6 spliceosomal RNA
UUGCUUUGGCAGCACAUAUACUAAAAUGGCAAUAAUUCAGAGAAUAUUAGUAUGGCCCCUGGGCAAGGAUGACAUACAUGUUCAUGAAGAAUUCUAUAUUUUU